rnacentral:lncRNA from 1 species
GAUUGGGUUCAGCGGAGGCUGUCCCGAGGGAUACGUCCAGGGAGCGACACGGCGGGACGGUGGGCGGGACCGGCCUGUCAAAAUGUGAUAAUAAAGCACUAGGGCACCUGCCGGAUGAAUGCGUGCGAGUGGGCAUCCAUCUUGAAAACACACGCUGAAGGGGAUGCUGCCAAGUGACAGGAGAGAAGCGGAGAGCAGAGGGAUCUGGAACUGGGGAGGCUGGUGUGGGGAAGGGAGGGAAAAAGGUCCCUGCCCGCACAGCCCAAGUCAUAGUAAAAUGAAGAAUCCCUCCCCUGGUUCGUUCAUCUGUCGUUGGACAAGCCGUAGCAGGAGGGUUAGCAGGAGGAAAUACCACACAAAGGAAAUGCUGCAUGUGACUCCAGUUGCUGACUGGCUGGCUAUCUAUCCGCCGCUCUCUAUUUCCAUACAGGGUGUUUGUCCCAGACCUCUCGGAUGAAGAUCACAUACCAGGAAGCUGCUGUGCCUCCCCAUAAGGCCAAUAAACAUGGGGGGAAUUACCACCCUGGGGAGACACUAAAUAAACGGCUGAUAUUCACCACUCGUAUUUACAGGCCAACCCAGAAAAUCCAUGUUUGUUCAGCUUCGAUAGAGGACGCUGUGUACCUAUUUAACUAGCUACACGGAGAUGGUGUGUGUGUAUGUGUGAGUGUACACAGGGUGGCUUAUUUCUGAUUUAAAAUCAUGUUGUUCACUGGAGUUGUUUCUUAUAUCUAAUCACAUGUUGUUCACUGGAG